rnacentral:tRNA from 1 species
UCCCUUGUAGCUCAGUUGGUAAAGAAUCUGCCUGCAAAGCAGGAGAACUAGGUUUGAUUCCUGGGUGGGAA